rnacentral:rRNA from 1 species
GGGUUGUGAGGUUAAGCGACUAAGCGUACACGGUGGAUGCCCUGGCAGUCAGAGGCGAUGAAGGACGUGCUAAUCUGCGAUAAGCGUCGGUAAGGUGAUAUGAACCGUUAUAACCGGCGAUUUCCGAAUGGGGAAACCCAGUGUGUUUCGACACACUAUCAUUAACUGAAUCCAUAGGUUAAUGAGGCGAACCGGGGGAACUGAAACAUCUAAGUACCCCGAGGAAAAGAAAUCAACCGAGAUUCCCCCAGUAGCGGCGAGCGAACGGGGAGCAGCCCAGAGCCUGAAUCAGUAUGUGUGUUAGUGGAAGCGUCUGGAAAGGCGCGCGAUACAGGGUGACAGCCCCGUACACAAAAAUGCACAUGCUGUGAGCUCGAUGAGUAGGGCGGGACACGUGGUAUCCUGUCUGAAUAUGGGGGGACCAUCCUCCAAGGCUAAAUACUCCUGACUGACCGAUAGUGAACCAGUACCGUGAGGGAAAGGCGAAAAGAACCCCGGCGAGGGGAGUGAAAAAGAACCUGAAACCGUGUACGUACAAGCAGUGGGAGCACGCUUAGGCGUGUGACUGCGUACCUUUUGUAUAAUGGGUCAGCGACUUAUAUUCUGUAGCAAGGUUAACCGAAUAGGGGAGCCGAAGGGAAACCGAGUCUUAACUGGGCGUUAAGUUGCAGGGUAUAGACCCGAAACCCGGUGAUCUAGCCAUGGGCAGGUUGAAGGUUGGGUAACACUAACUGGAGGACCGAACCGACUAAUGUUGAAAAAUUAGCGGAUGACUUGUGGCUGGGGGUGAAAGGCCAAUCAAACCGGGAGAUAGCUGGUUCUCCCCGAAAGCUAUUUAGGUAGCGCCUCGUGAAUUCAUCUCCGGGGGUAGAGCACUGUUUCGGCAAGGGGGUCAUCCCGACUUACCAACCCGAUGCAAACUGCGAAUACCGGAGAAUGUUAUCACGGGAGACACACGGCGGGUGCUAACGUCCGUCGUGAAGAGGGAAACAACCCAGACCGCCAGCUAAGGUCCCAAAGUCAUGGUUAAGUGGGAAACGAUGUGGGAAGGCCCAGACAGCCAGGAUGUUGGCUUAGAAGCAGCCAUCAUUUAAAGAAAGCGUAAUAGCUCACUGGUCGAGUCGGCCUGCGCGGAAGAUGUAACGGGGCUAAACCAUGCACCGAAGCUGCGGCAGCGACGCUGAUGCGUUGUUGGGUAGGGGAGCGUUCUGUAAGCCUGCGAAGGUGUGCUGUGAGGCAUGCUGGAGGUAUCAGAAGUGCGAAUGCUGACAUAAGUAACGAUAAAGCGGGUGAAAAGCCCGCUCGCCGGAAGACCAAGGGUUCCUGUCCAACGUUAAUCGGGGCAGGGUGAGUCGACCCCUAAGGCGAGGCCGAAAGGCGUAGUCGAUGGGAAACAGGUUAAUAUUCCUGUACUUGGUGUUACUGCGAAGGGGGACGGAGAAGGCUAUGUUGGCCGGGCGACGGUUGUCCCGGUUUAAGCGUGUAGGCUGGUUUUCCAGGCAAAUCCGGAAAAUCAAGGCUGAGGCGUGAUGACGAGGCACUACGGUGCUGAAGCAACAAAUGCCCUGCUUCCAGGAAAAGCCUCUAAGCAUCAGGUAACAUCAAAUCGUACCCCAAACCGACACAGGUGGUCAGGUAGAGAAUACCAAGGCGCUUGAGAGAACUCGGGUGAAGGAACUAGGCAAAAUGGUGCCGUAACUUCGGGAGAAGGCACGCUGAUAUGUAGGUGAAGUCCCUCGCGGAUGGAGCUGAAAUCAGUCGAAGAUACCAGCUGGCUGCAACUGUUUAUUAAAAACACAGCACUGUGCAAACACGAAAGUGGACGUAUACGGUGUGACGCCUGCCCGGUGCCGGAAGGUUAAUUGAUGGGGUUAGCGCAAGCGAAGCUCUUGAUCGAAGCCCCGGUAAACGGCGGCCGUAACUAUAACGGUCCUAAGGUAGCGAAAUUCCUUGUCGGGUAAGUUCCGACCUGCACGAAUGGCGUAAUGAUGGCCAGGCUGUCUCCACCCGAGACUCAGUGAAAUUGAACUCGCUGUGAAGAUGCAGUGUACCCGCGGCAAGACGGAAAGACCCCGUGAACCUUUACUAUAGCUUGACACUGAACAUUGAGCCUUGAUGUGUAGGAUAGGUGGGAGGCUUUGAAGUGUGGACGCCAGUCUGCAUGGAGCCGACCUUGAAAUACCACCCUUUAAUGUUUGAUGUUCUAACGUUGACCCGUAAUCCGGGUUGCGGACAGUGUCUGGUGGGUAGUUUGACUGGGGCGGUCUCCUCCUAAAGAGUAACGGAGGAGCACGAAGGUUGGCUAAUCCUGGUCGGACAUCAGGAGGUUAGUGCAAUGGCAUAAGCCAGCUUGACUGCGAGCGUGACGGCGCGAGCAGGUGCGAAAGCAGGUCAUAGUGAUCCGGUGGUUCUGAAUGGAAGGGCCAUCGCUCAACGGAUAAAAGGUACUCCGGGGAUAACAGGCUGAUACCGCCCAAGAGUUCAUAUCGACGGCGGUGUUUGGCACCUCGAUGUCGGCUCAUCACAUCCUGGGGCUGAAGUAGGUCCCAAGGGUAUGGCUGUUCGCCAUUUAAAGUGGUACGCGAGCUGGGUUUAGAACGUCGUGAGACAGUUCGGUCCCUAUCUGCCGUGGGCGCUGGAGAACUGAGGGGGGCUGCUCCUAGUACGAGAGGACCGGAGUGGACGCAUCACUGGUGUUCGGGUUGUCAUGCCAAUGGCACUGCCCGGUAGCUAAAUGCGGAAGAGAUAAGUGCUGAAAGCAUCUAAGCACGAAACUUGCCCCGAGAUGAGUUCUCCCUGACUCCUUGAGAGUCCUGAAGGAACGUUGAAGACGACGACGUUGAUAGGCCGGGUGUGUAAGCGCAGCGAUGCGUUGAGCUAACCGGUACUAAUGAACCGUGAGGCUUAACCUUACAACGCCGAAGGUGUUU